GAUGAACGCUGGCGGCGUGCUUAACACAUGCAAGUCGAACGAUGAAGCCCAGCUUGCUGGGUGGAUUAGUGGCGAACGGGUGAGUAACACGUGAGUAACCUGCCCUUAACUCUGGGAUAAGCCUGGGAAACUGGGUCUAAUACCGGAUAGGAGCGCCUACCGCAUGGUGGGUGUUGGAAAGAUUUAUCGGUUUUGGAUGGACUCGCGGCCUAUCAGCUUGUUGGUGAGGUAAUGGCUCACCAAGGCGACGACGGGUAGCCGGCCUGAGAGGGUGACCGGCCACACUGGGACUGAGACACGGCCCAGACUCCUACGGGAGGCAGCAGUGGGGAAUAUUGCACAAUGGGCGAAAGCGUGAUGCAGCGACGCCGCGUGAGGGAUGACGGCCUUCGGGUUGUAAACCUCUUUCAGUAGGGAAGAAGCGAAAGUGACGGUACCUGCAGAAGAAGCACCGGCUAACUACGUG
rnacentral:rRNA from 1 species